AGAUGAGUUACAGGACUACUCUCUAUUGGCAUGGCAUCAUAUAUGCUUUGGUUCAUGAGUAUAUUGAUCAAUGGUUCUAUAAUAUCAUGCCAAAGGAGAGUUGUCCUGUGAUUGGUCA
rnacentral:pre_miRNA from 11 species